rnacentral:rRNA from 1 species
GACGAACGCUGGCGGCGUGCUUAACACAUGCAAGUCGAACGGGCCUGUCUUCUUUUUUGGGGGUGGGUUGAGUGGCGAACGGGUGAGUAUCACGUGAGUAACCUGCCCUUCGGUCCUGGAUAACCGCUUGAAAGGGCGGCUAAUACGGGGUGGUCCGGUUGGUCCGCAUGGGCUGGUCGGGAUAGAUUCACUGUUUUUGGUGUUUCGGCGGGGGAUGGGCUCGCGGCCUAUCAGCUUGUUGGUGGGGUGAUGGCCUACCAAGGCGGUGACGGGUAGCCGGCCUGAGAGGGUGGGCGGCCACACUGGGACUGAGGUACGGCCCAGACUCCUGCGGGAGGCAGCAGUGGGGGGUAUUGCACAAUGGGCGGAAGCCUGAUGCAGCGACGUCGCGUGAGGGAGGGAGGCCUUCGGGUUGUGAACCUCUGUUUCCGGUGGUGAAGGCCCUGUCCGUGUGGUGGGGUUGACGGUAGCCGGGGAUGAAGCGCCGGCUAACUACGUG